UACGUAGGGUGCGAGCGUUGUCCGGAAUUAUUGGGCGUAAAGGGCUCGUAGGCGGGCAGGUAAGUCCGUGGUGAAAUCUCUGAGCUUAACUCAGAAACUGCCAUGGAUACUAUUUGUCUUGAAUAUUGUGGAGGUAAGCGGAAUAUGUCAUGUAGCGGUGAAAUGCUUAGAUAUGACAUAGAACACCAAUUGCGAAGGCAGCUUACUACACAGUUAUUGACGCUGAGGCACGAAAGCGUGGGGAUCAAACAGG
rnacentral:rRNA from 1 species